GUCGCUUCUCAGCCUUUUGGCUAAGAUCAAGUGUAGAAUAAUAAUAAUAAUACCCCACCCAUC
rnacentral:sRNA from 1 species